CAGGGGGAUUAUGGACCGAAGAGAAGCCCCAUUUAGAGAAGUAGGCACCUUCCACCCGAUCUUCUUGACUUUGUUGACCAACUUUUGACUUAUCAAUUAUUGGCUCCAAUAGUGUACCAACUUUUGGAGAUGAAACAACUUCAAAAUCAGGCAUUUCUUCAUCAACUUCAUGGAUUAAACUCUUCCUCUCCACAAAAGUAGAAGCAACAGCUUUCUUGUCACGCUUGUGGACUGUUGGCAGCUGAAUUUCUUUGGAUGCUUGGGCAGUCAAGGAUACCACUUGAGAAAUAGGUGACACAUCAUCAACCAUCCUUCUAGAAAUUUUC
rnacentral:misc_RNA from 1 species